UACGGAGGAUGCAAGCGUUAUCCGGAAUGAUUGGGCGUAAAGCGUCCGCAGGUGGCGAUGUAAGUCUGCUGUUAAAGGGUGAGGCUCAACCUCAUAAGAGCAGUGGAAACUACAUAGCUAGAGUACGUUCGGGGCAGAGGGAAUUCCUGGUGUAGCGGUGAAAUGCGUAGAGAUCAGGAAGAACACCAGUGGCGAAGGCGCUCUGCUAGGCCGUAACUGACACUGAGGGACGAAAGCUAGGGGAGCGAAUGGG
rnacentral:rRNA from 1 species